CCUAAGGUUGGGCUAGAAGGGAUAGGGGUUUAGGUUGUUACCCCUAAGGUUGGGCUAGAAGGGAUAGGAGUUUGGGUUGUCACCUCUAAGGUUGGACUAGAAGGGAUAGGGGUUUGGGUUGUCACCCCUAAGGUUGGGCUAGAAGGGAUAGGGGUUUGGGUUGUCACCCCUAAGGUUGGGCUAGAAGGGAUAGGGGUUGUCAC